CCUCUCAAAAUCCUCUCUUUUUUCACCAAAUCUGUCUCAGAAAUAUGACGAUCUCGGAUUCAUUCACCGUUGGAUCGUCGUGAAAUUUAAAAAGCAUGUUCACAACCCAAUUUCGAGCAUUCUCACCGUUGGGAAUUUCGAUACAAUGUCUGAGCUAAGAGAAAUACUUUUCGCAUCGUAGCCUUUUUUCUUUUCCGCAGAAACUCAAAACGGUCUCAAUAAAACUACGAUCCAGGUUUCGUUAACCGUUAGAUUUUCAUGAAAUUUUGAUAUGUGGUUCCUGUUUCAGUUACGCACACCUUCACCGUUGGGAUUUGCGAGAUAAUAGUCACGGAGAGAGAAAAAUGAAUCGCAUCAAGACAGUACAAGCGGAGACUUCAAUCUCUUCUCUGUCUCUCUCUGACGUUUGGGGACUCUAUCGGAGCAAUUAGAGAAAAAAAUUGGAUGAAUCUCAGGGAACUACUAGAGAUGCUGUUAUCGUUGGCUGAAGACACCCAGGAACUUUGUAGGAGAAAUAAAGAAAUUUGAAGCAAACAAGUUAUUCCACACACCGGUGGAUCCAAAGCUAAUCCUAGAAGAAGAAAUGAGUUGUUGUUAGAAACUGGGAAGCUAGCAAGUUGUGGACAAUUAUAUAUUGAAACUCAUAAAAGGAAAGAUGGAUCAUUUGUAAAUGAAGCGGCAAAGACUAUAGCGGAACAAAUUGAAGUAGGAUUGACUCAAAGCAUAGUUGAUGAAUCUGAAGUUUCUCCUCUUGAUGUUGUUGGUAUCCUAAAACUUCCAAAUGAUGCUUCAAGUGUUCCUAAUACACCUUUGGAUGCAAAAGGAUUUUCCGGUGCUAGCAACCCUUAGUUUGCUUAUAAUGUAUUUUGGAUUUAAAGUUUAGUACAAGACUAAUAUUACUUUGUUAUGGAUUUUAUGUCAUACUUUGAUUUACAAUAGAAAUUUGAAUUAUAAAUCUUUGAACUAUAUGUUAUUAUUUUGGUUAUUGAAAUAUAAU